AGCUUGCUGCGUGUAUGGUUAGUGGCAGACGGGUGAGUAAUGCAUAGGAAUCUGCCUAGUAGUAUAGGAUAGCCACUAGAAAUGGUGGGUAAUACUGUAUAAUCCCUGCGGGGGAAAGAUUUAUCGCUAUUAGAUGAGCCUAUGUCAGAUUAGCUAGUUGGUGGGGUAAUGGCCCACCAAGGCUGUGAUCUGUAGCUGGUCUGAGAGGAUGAUCAGCCACACUGGAACUGAGACACGGUCCAGACUCCUACGGGAGGCAGCAGUGGGGAAUAUUGGACAAUGGGCGCAAGCCUGAUCCAGCUAUGCCGCGUGAGUGA
rnacentral:rRNA from 1 species